rnacentral:rRNA from 1 species
UACGUAGGCAGCGAGCGUUGUUCGGAAUUACUGGGCGUAAAGAGUGUGUAGGCGGUGCUCUAGGUUCGGUGUGAAAUCUCCUGGCUUAACUGGGAGGGUGCGCCGGAAACUGGAGUGCUUGAGCGUGGGAGAGGAAAGCGGAAUUCCUGGUGUAGCGGUGAAAUGCGUAGAUAUCAGGAGGAACACCUGUGGUGUAGACGGCUUUCUGGACCAUAGCUGACGCUGAGACACGAAAGCGUGGGUAGCAAACAGG